AUCUUCGAGUGGAAAAGCUAAGGCAUACGGGGAAAGAAAAGUAGCAGAGAGAGAGCUAGAGAAGCAGGAGGAGAAGCUAAGACCAACGGCAGCAGAGAGCAGGGCAUAAAUUCAGCUGCUUUUGACAAUAAGGGGUCUGGUUGCGGUUCCAGCUUUUCCCAGCCCCUCAAGAGUGUGCCUUGUUAUUUAGUGUUGCUGUGGGUUGGCGACACGGCCCUCUGGUGAGGGUGAAGGCUGACUAACAAGAUACAGUGAUGGAUUGUGAGAACAAAAACAGCUGGAAACCAAAGCUGCCCCUGCACCUGCAGAGGCAAGUGAAGGCCAUGGUUCCUAGUAGACUAUGCCGAAAACACCAAAGGUGAGGCCUGCCCAGUUGGACUUGGUCCCUUUUGUGGAGGGACUCAAGACACUGUAAUGACCUGGCAGCACGGAAGACAGGAACAUCUGCUAUUACUGACAGCCUCUUUCUACGCUUGAUGUGUGAAGGCCACAAGCAGCCAACAGCAAUGACUUGGUUGGAUUAACAUUCUAGAGCAAGCUCGAGAAAACGUGGAACAGGUAGGGAUCCUGGGGAGCUUAAAAGGAGAAAAAGAUUUGGGACUGGAUUUAGGGCGAGGGUGAGCUGAAACAGCAUUGCAGCAGAAAUGCAGUAGAACUGAGUGUUCAGCUGAGUGCAGUGGGACAAAGCAUGUGUCUUUUAUUUUUCCUUUCGUCUCAAAAGCAAUAAGAAAUGUAAACUGCCUGCAAAGGGAGGCCAGUAAAGAAAUGAAGGUCAAGGUUGAGUAGCACUGUGGACUUACUGUUGGUGUCUGUCCAUUCAUGAACUGAUGAGACUAAAUGCCAACUUGUUGGUAUUCGGGGUGCGACCUGUUAAACAAAAAUUGCAAGAGGCUGUUGCUUUGGAAUAGGCUGCUGUACG